rnacentral:rRNA from 1 species
AACGCUAGCUACAGGCUUAACACAUGCAAGUCGAGGGGCAGCAUGAUUGAAGCUUGCUUCAAUUGAUGGCGACCGGCGCACGGGUGAGUAACACGUAUCCAACCUGCCGAUGACUCUGGGAUAGCCUUUCGAAAGAAAGAUUAAUACCGGAUGGCAUAAUUCUUCCGCAUGGUAGAAUUAUUAAAGAAUUUCGGUCGUCGAUGGGGAUGCGUUCCAUUAGGUUGUUGGCGGGGUAACGGCCCACCAAGCCAUCGAUGGAUAGGGGUUCUGAGAGGAAGGUCCCCCACAUUGGAACUGAGACACGGUCCAAACUCCUACGGGAGGCAGCAGUGAGGAAUAUUGGUCAAUGGACGAGAGUCUGAACCAGCCAAGUAGCGUGAAGGAUGACUGCCCUAUGGGUUGUAAACUUCUUUUAUACGGGAAUAAAGUGCAGUAUGCAUACUGUUUUGUAUGUACCGUAUGAAUAAGGAUCGGCUAACUCCGUGCCAGCAGCCGCGGUAAUACGGAGGAUCCGAGCGUUAUCCGGAUUUAUUGGGUUUAAAGGGAGCGUAGGCGGAUGCUUAAGUCAGUUGUGAAAGUUUGCGGCUCAACCGUAAAAUUGCAGUUGAUACUGGGUGUCUUGAGUACAGUAGAGGUAGGCGGAAUUCGUGGUGUAGCGGUGAAAUGCUUAGAUAUCACGAAGAACUCCGAUUG